UGAUGCAUUUCCAGUAUUGAGCCAGCGUUGCAUUUCUGUUUGAAUCUUUCUUGGUUAUGCUGUCCUGUUCUAUCGGGUAGAAUUUUCUACUAUUGUACUGAGAUGAUUCUGAAGUGAGAUUGGCCUUCCCGGUAGCGGAGGAUGGUUCCCAGCUCGUGGGUCUACUAGUAGCUGCUCCCUGUGCUAGAACGUUCAACAAGCUCUCAGGUCGGUCUGUAGGAGGAUGUAGGCUAGUCAAGCUCCGACUCCAGACACAUGCAAAUGAGGUGCUGAACGCGGCCGUCUGCCUUUCUUU
ensembl:misc_RNA 7SK 7SK RNA